AAAUAUUCUGUAUACAGCUGUAGAUUUGGUGUGUCCCUGGCAGGAGGUGUGCUCAGGAUCCUUUUAUGUCACCGUCUUAAACUGGACCCUGUCUCUUUUUGCACAUGUGCUCCUUGGUACAGAAGGCCCUGUUUGAGGAGGAGGACCACAUCCAGAAGCUUCAGCAGAAGGUGGCCACCCUGGAGAAGGGGAACAAGCAGGUGUGAGAUCCAGUGAAGAAGGUCAAGGAGGUCCCAAGUGCACAAGAACGGCUGCCGCCUGGAGCUGCUAAACUGAAAGAGAAGCUGCCAGAUACAUCAAAAAAUACAUCUAGAUGUGGAACAAUUCUCACGGAACACCUACUGCACGCUGGCAGGUAAAAGGACCAACGUUGUAGGACACAGCCCCAUGUACCCAGCUCCUGAGGAGGAAUACUCAAGUUUUGCUCUUCUCCCAGAAGUGCUCCAGUCCCACCUACCUCACACCAGAAAUGGCUCAGAAAUGGCUUCUCCUCCAAUAACUGGGGAACAAACAGACUCUGACAACCACAGAGCAAAGAGGCCCUGCACAACAUCCAGAGCAGGCUCUGGUUACCACAACACCAGUCACACACUAUCAAGGGGAUAACAGCCAGCACAGACUGAGGAAAGAUGUGGGAUGCAUCCAUACUAAAAACAGGCAUCACACCAAAAAUAUUAGACUCGUGUAGGCUAUACAGGGAUGCUCCCAUAUAUAAACAUCCCUCCAAGACCACAAAAUAGCUCUUUGUCCUAAACUCAUAGAGUCAGAGAAAUAGAAGUAAAAAGCAGAAGAACCACUCCCAAUGAAAAGAUCAAGAGAAAACCCUUGAAAGAACAAACAGUGAAAAAGACCUCUCCAGUCUACAAGACCCUGAGUUCAGAAAGGAGGUAAUAAAAGUACUAAAUGGAUUAGGAAAGACUGUUGAUAGAAAUACAGGUUAUUGAAAAAAGGAACCAGAAACUGUAAGGAGGAGCCAACUAGAAAACUCAUUUGCUGAAAUAGAAGCUGAGCUAAGUGCAAUGCAUAGCAAACUGAAUAAUGCAGAAGCACAAAUAAGUGAUCUGGAAUUUUGAAUAAUGAAAAUCACCCAAUCGGAACAGUAGAAAAACAAAACAAAACAAAAAAAGAGCAAUAUACCAGACCUAUGGAAUAAUAUAGAAUGUACCAAUCUAUGCAUAAUCGGGAUCCCAGAGGAGAGGAAAGAAAAAAAGAGGAUUGAAAAUAUAUUUGAAGAAAUUAGGGCUUAAAAUUUCCCAACCUAAUAAAGGAAACAUACCCAGGUACAGGAACCAUAGAGAUUCCUAAGCACUAUGAACUCAGACAGACAUAACUAAAAUAGCAGCAGUUACAGGCAACAAGAGAAAAAGUUAAUUUCAAGGGAACCCCUCUAAGGCUAUAAGCUGAUUUCUCUACAGGAACAUUGCAGGCCAGAAAGGACAUGCAAGGUAUGUUCAAAGUUCUGAAAGGGAAAAACCUGCUACUGAAGAUACCCUACCUAGCAAGAGAAUCAUUUAGAAUAGAAGGAGAGAGAAAGAAUUUCUCAUGAAAGAACAAAACCAAUACAGCAAUACCAAACCUAUCCCAAAGGAAAUAUUGCAAGUUCUCUAAAUAGAAAACAAGCUAGACAAUAGAGGAAGGAGAAACUCACAGUUGGGAAGUAAACCACUUAAAUAAGCCAGAGGUAAAAAAAUUUUGUGUGUGAAAGUGAUAACUACAAUGAACAAAAAAAUUAAAAUGGGGAGGGGAGUAAGAGAAUGUAUAUAUUUUUUUAGAAUGUACUUGAGCCUGUAUAACUACCAGUCUAAAGCAAGUAGAUAUAAAAUGGGUUAAUAUACUUGAAAAACAUGGUAACCACACAUCAAAAACAUGCAAUAGAUUCAUGAAAACUAAGAGAAUAUAAGUAUAAUAUGAAAGAAAACCAUCAAACCACAAAAGGAAACAGAACUAAGGAGAAAUACAAAAUCAACUGGAAAACAAGGUUUACAAUGGCAGUGAUUACAUAUAUCAAUAAUCAUGAUAGAUGUCCAUACACUAAAUGCUCCAAUCAAAAGACACCCAGUGCCAGACUGGAUAAUAAAACACAAGCCCACAAGAUGCUGCCUACAAGAGAACCACUUUAGGGCAAAGGACAUACAUAGACUGAAAGUGAAGGAGAUAGAAAAAGAUUUCAUGCAAACAAAUGAUGAAGUGGGGGAUGCAAAAUAGACUUUUAAACAAAGGCCCAUGGAAUAUGUAUGCUGUGGUACACGGAAAAACUGGCCAACAGGAGCUUGUUCUACCAGCACAGGGAGCUCUAUCCAAUAUUCUGUGAUGAUCUACAUAAGAAAGAGUGAAAAAGAAUGGGUGUGUGUAUAUGAAUAAAUUAAUCAUUUUGUUGUGCAGCAGAAAUUAUAACAUUGUAAAUCAUGAAGAAAGAUAAAGGACACUAUAUAAUAAAGUGAACAAUACAAGACAAGGAUAUUACAUGCAUUUAUAUAUGUACCCAAUAUAAGAGCACCUAAAUAUAUAAAAUUAACAAAAGGAAUGAAUUGAUGGCAAUACAAUAAUAAGCUUUAAAACCCCACUCACGUCAAUGGACAGAUCUUCUAGAGAGAAAAUCAGUAAGACAACAAAGAUCCUAAAUGAUACAUUAGAUGAGUUACCUAAUUGAUAGUUUCAGGACAUUGUAUCAGAAAAAAUUAACUGGAAUACACAUUCUUUUCAAGCGCACAUGAAACAUUCUCUAGGACUGACCACAUACUAAGACACAAAACUGACCUCAGCAAGUUUAAGAGGAAAGAAAUUACUUCAGGCAUCUUUUCUGACCACAACAGUAUGGAAUUAUAAAUUAACCACAAGAAAAGAGAAAAAAAUUGCAUGGAGAUUUAAACAAUAUGCUACUGAAAGUAAAGAGGUCAAUGACGAAGUCAAACAGUAAAUUUUAAAAAUGCCUUGGGACAAGUGACAAUGAAAAUAUAACCAUACAAACUCUGUGGGAUGCAGAAAAAGCAGUCCUUAGAGGGAAGUUCCUAGUGAUACAGGCCUUCUUUAAAAAGUAAGAAAAAUCACAAACAACCUAACUCACCAUCUAAUAGAAUUAGGAAAAGAAAAACAACACCUGAAGUCAGCAGAAGGAAGGAAAGCAUGAAGAUGAGAGAGGAAAUAAAGAUUUUUAAAACUUGGGAAAAAAGCAAUAAAACCAAAAGCUUAUGGGCGUUCCUGUUGUGGUGCAGUGGAAAUGAAUCUGACUAGUAUUCUUGAGGAUAUGGGUUCGAUUCCUCCCUCACUCAGUGGGUCAGGGAUCUGGUAUUGCCUUGAGCUAGAGGGCAUGGAUUAUAUGUUGCUGUGGCUGUGGUGUAGGCCAGGAGCUAUGGCUCCAAUACAAACCCUAGCCUGGGAACUUCCAAAUGCUGUGGGUGUGGCCCUAAAAAGAAAAAAAAAAAAAGAAAAAGAAUAGUUAAUCUGAACAAAUCUACCAUCGUGGCUCAAAUAGAAUCUAAUUUUAAACUCCCUGCAAACAAAAGUCCAGGACCAGAAAGCUUCUUUGGGGAAUUCUACCGUGUAUACAAAGAACUUCUUCUAUUGAUCCUUUUCAAACUCUUCCAAAAACUGAAGAAAAAGGAACACUCCCAAAGUCAUUUUAUGAAGCCACAAUCACCCUGAUACCAAAACCAAAGACACUGCCAAAAAAGAAAAUUAUAGGCUAAUAUCUGAUGAAUAUAGAUACAAGAAAAUCUCAACAAAAUAUUAGCCAACUGCAUCCACCAACAUAUACAAAAGGUUAUACGAAGACUAAGUUGGAUUCAUCCCAGGGUCACAAAGAUAGUUCAACAAAUGCAAAUCAAUCAGUAUGCUACACCUCAUCAACAAAUGAAAAGACAAAAAAACAAAUAAUCAUCUCAAUAGAUGCAGAAAAAGCCUAUGAUAAAAUUCAACAUCCAUUCAUGAUAAAACCUCUUACCAAAGUGGACAUAGAACAUUUCAACAUAAUAAAAACUAUUUAUGGAGCUCCUGUCAUGGCUCUCAGAAAAAUACCAAAAAGGGAAAGUACAAAAUAGUAUCUUUAAAAUUUGCAUUAGGAGUUCCCAUCGUGGCUCAGUGGUUAACGAAUCCGACUAGGAACCAUGAGGUUGCAGGUUCGAUCCCUGGCCUUGCUUAGUGGGUUAAGGAUCCGGUGUUGCCAUGAGCUGUGGUGUAGAUUGCAGAUGCGGCUCAGAUCUGGCAUUGCUGUGGCUCUGGCGUAGGCCAGCGGCUCCAGCUCCGAUUCAACCCCUAGCCUGGGAACCUCCAUAUGCCACGGGAACGGCCCAAGAAAAUGGCAAAAAA
rnacentral:lncRNA from 1 species